CAACAUCCAUCCUCAACCCGAAAUUUUUAUAUAAAUUAAUGUGCAGAUAAACAAGAUUUCCGUGGUGGUUAAAACUAUAAUAUUAACAAGUAGAGGUUAUGUCGAUAAUCUGUGCUUACAAGUGGUGGGAAAAAGUCUCUCACCAACGGACGACGGAAAUUAAACUCAACUGGGCUCGACGUCAUCACUGUCAAUGCUUGGAGUUAUGAAGCACUCAUUUACAUCCAGACAUCCCUUCUCUGCAUCCAUAAACCAGCCAGAACUGCACACAGAACAUCCUGCAACAUGUCAAAAUAAACACAAAGGCUAUGGAUUUGAAGGAACGUGGACAAACAGAAAUGGUUAAACACUACAAACCUUUAGGCCCAGCCUGAGAGCAGAUUCCUUGACAAGAAGCAUGACAAGGAGAACAGAGCAGUUUCUCCUCGUCUCGAUAUGACUCGUAAUAUGUGGAAGCACAAGAAUCGCAGAACUCUCCUUCAUAUCCUGGGUCACAACUGCAUUUACCAUUUCCCUUUCUUGUUCCUGCGCCCUUGACAAAUAAAUACGUUUACAUUAAUAACAGCAAUGGCAAUCUCUCCUGGAGUUCUUUUAGCUUUGAAAGCAUUCGGUGGACUAUUUUCAUAAAGAACAGUUAAGGACAUAAAUGCAUUAGAAAAUACUUGCAUCCAAACAAGGAAAAAGAAUUAUAUUUGGAUACGUACACAAUGGAAAAAUCAAGCAUAACAAGGAACUGUAGACAUGGCUAAAAUACUUAAAAUUAAAUGUAUUCAGCCUUUUGACAUGAAAUAUGUCAACACAUCUUUUAUACUAUUUGGGUCUUUGUUGCUUAUCUAUUUGCAUAGGUCCAGCCUCACCCAGAUGCAUGUUUUGAUAAGGACAGAAACUGACAAGAUCACUGGUAAAUAAUCUGUCCAUACAGCAAGAGGUGAUAGGUUCAGUUUUAUAUUGCCAGAUUUUAUUAAAGAAAAUUUUGCUUUUAAAUUAAAAGUAUUUUAACUUGUAAUUAAUUCAGGCAUACUGAGAUAAAAAUAAGCUAAGACUCUCAGUAAAUUGUAUAGCAAUGAGGAAUGUCAGCAGUAGACAAAUAUCUGGGAAUAAAUUAUUGAAAUCAAUGAAAAAAGCAAACCUGCAAAGAACGCAUCAUGCAAAUACAUGUCCAAAGAAUUGUAGGACACCAUCUAAUGCUUGUCAACAACACUUUUUCAAUUACACUGAUUACACAGUAUUAAAUGACAAAAUAAUCAUGGAUGAUGAACUGGAAUAGAUGUGCAAGGAAGUGGUCACAAAACUACUUCAAGGUACCAUUCCAGCAUUUCUCCGAAGUGUCUGAGACAAAUCAGAAACCUCAAUCAGGACAUCUGUUCUCUGGUUCACAAUUUAAACCAAGAACCUCCCAAAUACAAAUCAGAAAUGGUAAUCACUUUAUUGUGAAAUUUGUUCCACUCUGGUUUAUAUCUGUAUGAGCAAUGCCAUUUUCACAACUGGUUAUAAUAAAAAUGUUCUGGCAAAGCCAAAGUUUGAGUUUCAGACCAUAAAGUUCAAUCAGCUUUCGAAAUAAAAACCAUGUACUAUAUUGCUCAACAGCAGGUAUGCUGAUGAAAAAGUGUUGUCUAGUUGUAUGAAGCAUUAGUAUACUGAUUGAUGUAUGUGAGAUUUCAGGUUCUCACAGUGGCGAGUAUGAAGAUGGACAUCUCCAGGGUUGUUGCACUGAUUAGUCUGAUAGAAGUUUACACAUUGCCCUGAUGAUGAUGGCUCCAAGCACCUCUGAAAAAUCAGUAAACUUCUACCAAACUAAAUAGUGCAACCAUCCUGGAGGCCGCCAUCUUUGCUGACGUUCAGCACAUAUAAAGCUAGUAUAUGUAACACAACAGUAGUGCUAUGGUCAAAAGCCUACCUUACAUUUGCCACUCUUGUUGCACACAUUGUUUGGGAAACCGGGACAUGGUUUGCAGUCAGCACCAUAGUGAUUAUCUGGACAACAGUACUUUAACGUGUCAAUGCAGAGGUAUUUAUACAUAUCUUCAUCUUGUCUUUGAAACCACCAUUCAUCAAUAUACUGUUCUGUUUCUUCAGACAAAGAAUGACACUGAAACAGUAUAAAACCUUACUCAAGAAUUUUUCUUUUGAUAGGUAUGCUUAAUGUUACAAUAACAUCUGCUGAAACAUGUUUACAUCAUACAAUAUAUAUUAAUACAUAAUAAAGGCUUCUCCUAAAUGUUUCAUCAGCAA